AGAGUUUGAUCAUGGCUCAGAAUUGAACGCUGGCGGCAUGCCUUACACAUGCAAGUCGAACGGCAGCACGGGGGCAACCCUUGGUGGCGAGUGGCGAACGGGUGAGUAAUACAUCGGAACGUGUCCUGUAGUGGGGGAUAGCCCGGCGAAAGCCGGAUUAAUACCGCAUACGAUCUACGGAAGAAAGCGGGGGAUCUUCGGACCUCGCGCUAUAGGGGCGGCCGAUGGCAGAUUAGCUAGUUGGUGGGGUAAAGGCCUACCAAGGCGACGAUCUGUAGCUGGUCUGAGAGGACGACCAGCCACACUGGGACUGAGACACGGCCCAGACUCCUACGGGAGGCAGCAGUGGGGAAUUUUGGACAAUGGGGGCAACCCUGAUCCAGCAAUGCCGCGUGUGUGAAGAAGGCCUUCGGGUUGUAAAGCACUUUUGUCCGGAAAGAAAACCUCUUGGUUAAUACCUGAGGGGGAUGACGGUACCGGAAGAAUAAGCACCGGCUAACUACGUGCCAGCAGCCGCGGUAAUACGUAGGGUGCGAGCGUUAAUCGGAAUUACUGGGCGUAAAGCGUGCGCAGGCGGUCUGUUAAGACCGAUGUGAAAUCCCCGGGCUUAACCUGGGAACUGCAUUGGUGACUGGCAGGCUUUGAGUGUGGCAGAGGGAGGUAGAAUUCCCGUGUAGCAGUGAAAUGCGUAGAGAUGUGGAGGAAUACCGAUGGCGAAGGCAGCCUCCUGGGCCAACACUGACGCUCAUGCACGAAAGCGUGGGGAGCAAACAGGAUUAGAUACCCUUGUAGUCC
rnacentral:rRNA from 1 species